AUAAGUAGCUAGAUAAUUAUAAAAUUAUUUUUAAUUAUUUAUUGUUUUUUUUAUCUUAUGAAUUUUAAUUAACCCAGUUUCUUACAAUAAAAUUUUCUGUUAGUUUAUUUAUUGAAUGAAACUUGUGUAGCUUAAAAUCAUGCAUGCAUUUAAGCUGAAUCGAAUCUAAAUUAAACUGAAGUAAAUCUGGUUAUGUUCUGUCAUUUUUCUUUGAAACAAAAGGCUCAAAAGAAAAGACCCAAUGGGAAUAGAACGCAUUGCUUCCUGUCUAUUUCCCUUUUAAGUUUAAAAUAUGUAUCUCAUAUCUCACCAACACGCAUGUCUCUGCGCGUGUAUGACACUGUCAUUCAUGUUAACUCCAAAUAACUAAUUAAAAAAUGAAAUAAAAACCUUUGAUUGCUUCCCUUAUCUUCUUAUGAUUCGUUCGGAGCAAUCUUUGCUUUGAUAAUAUCUAUAUUUCUUUGGACAAAAAAACUAUAUUUCUCUCUUGAUCGAGUCAUAGCGGAAUUGAGAAACCGAUCUGAUUUACUCGCCGCUUAAACUGUGGAAUAUUUUUAUUAAUUGGUUCGAUUUUCUUUUUUAACCUCUUCAGUGUUGUUGCUUAUCAUCCUCUUCCCUCUGCCUCUUCAUACUCUGCAAAACCCAUCGCCAAUAAUUUUAAACUCUUGAAUGUUAUUGAGUUACCGGAGGUGGCAGCGAAAUGAACCGUCACCGUUGAUAUCGCCUCCAACCAAGGCGAAGUCAGUAGCAUCCAGAAACUCACGGUACGCUCCUUCUUUUCCUUCUCGUUUCAAAAGUUUCAGUCUUUACAUAUGUUUUCAUUAUAGUGGCUAUCUCUCUGUAUUUGGGCUAUAUCACGGUGUGAACAAAAAGCCCACUAAACCGUAAACAAUUAUGAAACGCAGCAUCCCACAUCAAAAGUUAAUGAAACGAUGAGUUUUAGGCAAAGAAGACAGGUGUCGCAUUCACAAUCAAUGACUUUAUGACGUGGCGCAAUAGGAGGGAGACAAACAUUUUUUUAUAUAUAUAAAUUUUAUCUAUUUAUGUCAUAUUUUGAACUGGACAAAUUGGGACCAGUGAAAUUUAUUAAUCUAUAGAAAUUAUUAAUUUAUCGAGUAUUAAUUUAUAAAAGUUAUUGAUCAUUUUGCUUUCCAGCCUCUUCUCUUUGUGCAGGGCCGGUCCUGGACCAUGCUAAGUGAAAUAUUUGCAACAAGCUCCUAAAAAUUUUGAAGAAAACUAUAUAGACAUAAGCCUCUUGAAAAAAAAUUUAGAGCCCUAAAUUUGCGAAAAAUUCAGAUGCCAAGAACGUUGCAAGUUCCACUGAGAGAGAAGAGCUAUCGUUGAUAUAUAUAGAGUUCUUGGGCCUUUUUGGAGAUGUCAAGACCAUCAAAAAGGCAGAAGAUCAACACGCUAAACUCUUUCGUCGGAGCACGUCAGAGCUGAGAAAGCGUAGCGCAGAUGACUUUCUAUCUUCUGAUAGGACUAAAAUGGCGAAAACUUACAACGGAACUCUUCCUGCUCAGCCAGUGUCUGCACAAGCUCAGUGGUCUGGUGGAUACGCUGCACAGCCUCAGGCUUGUCCACAAGCACAAGCCGCUCCUGCAUAACCACAGCAAUGGAACCCCGCCUAUGGCCAGCAGGCUGCGUAUGGUGCAUAUCCCGCUGGUUAUACUGCUCCACAAGCACCAGCACCCGUCCCACAAGCUGCUGCUUAUGGCGUAUAUCCUGCUCAGGCAUAUCCAGCACAGAGUUACGCACUUCCUGUUGCUUAAAUUUAAUAAAGCGAAUUAACUAAAAUAAAAUAUAAAAUAAAGAAUACACGAUUUUAACUUGCAAGAACACAAAAAUUAAAUAUACUCUUCAAAAUAAAACAUCAAAAGCGUAUUUUCAAAAUAAAUUAGAAAUCAAUGUCAAAUGUAUUUUCUUUUAUAAUAUUCAAAUCAAAAAAUCGCAUAAUCCGCAUGAACAAGGAGCAAAACAAGAAAUAUAGGAUUUGAAAUUAAUGAAAAAUAACACUGAAGGAAAACGAAAAACAUACGCGAUGAAAAGUAAAUCAUACAAGCCGAAGACAAAAUCCGAAUAGACAAAAAAUGUAUCACACCAGAAAAUAUCGGAUAUACUAGAAAAUAAUUCCAAUAUGAAAACAUGAUUGGAAAUUUACACAGCUCUCUCUGAAAUAUGUUAACUAUGAGAACAAAGUGAGAUCCCCAAGCCAUAAUUUAUUUAUGAGUUUCAAAUUAGUUUUAAUCAAUCAAAAGAAAUAAACAAAUAUAUUUAUCCAUUAAUAUUUUUAAUAUAAAUCAACACUAUGAUUUUAUGUUUUGACAAAUAUUAUUAUAGUCAGUUACAGUCAAGAUCUUCAUAGAAACUAACCAAAUAAGUUAUACUAAAAUAAAUUUAAUAUGCUAGUGAUUUGCAAGAUUUUUAAAAAUUAUUGUUCUUAAAGCAAACUAAAUGAUGAAUUCUUAUAAUCAUUAGUUUGAUUCACCUCAUAUAAAUCAAGUUGCUCUCUGCUGAUUUAUGUCCGAGAAAAUAUUUAGAAAACAAUGUUUAAAAUAAAGAGCCUAAAAAAAGCAUGUCAAAUAAGUUAAUUAAGCUUCUAAAUGAAAUUUAUAACGAAGAGGUCUGCCUGUCUAGGACUUGAUCUUGGUACUAGCCCAUAACGAUCAAAGUCAAAUCGGAAGCCUAUUAAUGAGACAAAUUCAAUAAAACAACAACUGGUAAUCAACAAUAAAUUAGCAUGAAAAAUAAUAUAAAAACUGAUAGAAUGAACAAUCAAUAUGACUUUAUCAAUAUAUAUAUAUAUAUAUAUAGUCUAAGUAUUAUAAUCAACAAACUAAAAACACAAAAAUUUACAAAUUUUGAAAAAUUAGAAAAAAAAUCUCAAGAUUACAAUGAAAACGCUAUCUAGACUUUGUUUAUCUUAUCGUCAGCAUUUAACAACUAGAAAACAAUUAUCAAAAUUAGGAAAUAGUUUUCAAAGAAUCUUAAAAAUCUUCAUGUAAACUCCAAAACAAACAAAUAUUAACUAUUAUACCAAAAAAUAAAUUAUAAUAUAUUGUAAUAUAUUAUACGAUCAUACAAGCUUAACUACAAUACAAAUAAUUGAUAAGAUCAAGUAGUAGACAACUCUAAUACUUUAGAUUAUCAAUAUUAUUAAUUAAAUAAAUAAAAUGUUACAUAAAAUUAGUUAAAUUCAUUAUAUUUAAUUUAAUUUUUACAUUAUCUUACAAAGGCUAUUUAAUAUUAAUUAAAGUUCAUCAAAAUAUUUAUUGUGAUUAAAUUUUUAAUCUAAAUAUUAUACUAUCACACAUCUAUUACUAUAAAGUAGAGUUUUUCUCUUCUCUGGUGUUGCCACGUCAUCAAAUGAGGUAAGGAAAGCUCGACACGUGUCAUCUCCGAAUUAUUUCAUCUUUACGUUUCUUCUUGGCUUUUAAUGAUUCUCUUGAUACGGGCCUCGGUGUGAUCAUCCAAGCUUUGGUUGAAGCGAGACUGACAAAAUUCUCAAAGAAAAAGAAGAGAAAUUCUUCUGUAGAGAGAAGAAAACAGACGAUACAAACGAGAUUUGGUUUUAUAAGACAAUAUGAAAUCAUGUUUUAACCUGAGAAGAAGACGAACCCUAAUCCACGUUGAUACAGGUUCUUUCUCGCUGGGGUAUGAAACGUAACCCCGUCUGUUCAUCUCUCCCUCAAUUCAAUUGACAGAGUUAUUAACAGUGAUUAUAGUAUGCAAUCAAUUCAUCCACUUUCUCCUCAUCAAUCAAGAUUUCUCACCUCCCCCAUCACCGAAGCUCUGUAUAUAUGUGGCGCAAGGUGCCCAAGAGAAAUCACAAAGCUUCUUCCAACGAAGAAAUUCGUCUCAAGGGGAUUAGAGUCAGAGGAGUCGACGAGCAUCACCAGCGUCGUCUUCUUCCGCCUACGGUGGAAAAACUCAAAUCGUUGAUUGCCUUUAAAAUCCUUGAGUUACAGGAAUUCGUAUUUGGCAUAAAUAGGUGGAUUAGAGACAGAGGAUUUGAACAUAUUAGAGUUGGAUCAUUAUGUGUUGCAGCCGAAGCUGCGAGAGCACUAAAUCCACCUUGGUUCAAGGUUCUACCGGGGCUCAUAGACUCAAAACUUUGAAGCACCUGUUGAAGGAAGAUGCCAUCUAUGUGCUAAGCGUAUUCAAUGUCACAAGAAGUAACAUCCACUUCAAACUCACUGACUCACCAGUUUCCAUUCGCUUCAACGACCUGACCAACUUUGUGGAGCUUAUGUAGACAACUGCCUUUAUUCUACAGAACAGUUCAUGUUUCAGAAAUAUGAGCAGCUCAUGUCUUUAGUUAAUACAAACGUGGAUUUGCUGGAUAUUUGUAUCUAAUCUUGGUUUUUCAAUUAGCUAACAUUUUAUUGGUUUAAUAAUUGUCCAUCUGUAUUCAACCUUUGUUACCAAAGUUUUCUGCAGACAUUGUUCGUGUUGUUUGUGGCAUCAAGAACGCCUACAACGAAGAAAAUCAGGCCAUCGUACGUAUUAUUCAGUAACCCUACAAUACUUCAUGGUUUUGAGUCAAGGCAAGUAUUUUUAAUGGAAUCAGAGAGGCUGUCGAGAAUAUAAUUCUGACUAUGUUUUCUCUUUCGGAAACAUGAGAAAUAUCAAAUCGAAGGAGUUCAGACAAUGGUUUAGACACAAUGGAAGGUUCUUCAAUUGCAAAAACAAAGUGAUGCAGGUUGCUCUUGGUUCUUCUGCUUCUGGUGAAAUCCAUCAUGCCAUCUUUAAAGCCUCCAAGAUGCCAAAUGAAGAGGUUGAAAAGUUAUCAUCUCUCUCCCGUAGCUCUCUUUUUUGUUCAAUCUUGUUUUGGUGAAAGCAAUGGUGAAGGACUUACACUGACUGUAUCCAUCUUUCUUUUGGUUAUCAUUACAUCUUAUUUAACGUUUAUGAAUUAUUUAAUGCUUAUGAAGGUUCGGAAUUUUGAAGGAGUGGAAGCAUUGCAGUAGAAACGAUUUGUGAUUAAAACUAUUGCCCGCUUGAUAAACAAACAAGCUUCAUUGUGUUUAUCUUUAUUACUGAUCAACUCUGUUUUGGUACAAUUGAUUGAUCGGGUUGAACUGAAGGAAGAUCCUCUAGAACCGUUCACACAUGAGAUGGAACUAUUUCUAAGGAAGCCGGGUAUAUGGAUGUUCAGCUCAACAAAGGUUGUAUCCUAUCACUUUUAAUUUCCCUUUCUCUCUCUCAUUUACAAAGUUAAUUUAUUUUGUUAAUUCAUUAUGUAGGUACCGUAGAGUUACUCUCGGACUUGUAGUUUGUAAUUUUUUUUUCCUGAACGUUGAAUUUUUACUAAUGUGAUUAUAUUUAAAAAAAAUUGGUAAAAAAUGUGACUUGAUCCGAAAUUAUAUCAUAUAAUAUAUUAGUUGAUAAAAAAAAUAUCAUAUAAUAUAUUUUAAAAUUGAGAUAUAUUAUUUUAAACAAAUAUAAAAUAUUUAAUCACAAAGUAAAUUGACUUUUAAUAAUAAAAUCAUAGUAUUGUAUCGCCUGAACAUAUCUAACAUCAAAUGAUCAUUGUUUAAUAACAUAAAUGGCAAACAUCCAGUAUAACAAACAUAAAGUAGGACUCAAUUCAUUUUUCCUUGACCUUUUGCAGUUUCUCUGAUUUCUUUAACUCAAGCUUCACAAUCUAUUCUUCUCUUCGUUUUCUUCACAGCCUCUCCCUCCGUCAACUCGAUUCAUCUCCUUCAAGUCGCCAGUUUGGCUUUGAUUUUAAAUAUUUCAGAUUUAUAUAGUAACUAUCAAUAUUACAUUUGUAUACUAUCUAGCUAACUAUUAAAAAAGUUAUAGUGAAUCGUUUAUUUUAUUUUUUAAAUCACAAAAUUAAUAUGUAUUAAAUAAAAUGUAUAAGAGAAACUAUAAGUUUCAAUAGAUUUAGAAACAAAAAUAUUACAGGUAUAAAUAAAUUAUAAUUAAAUGUUUGAUUUAAAUUAAAGUUUUGAGUAAAUUAAUACAUUUUACUUAUUGAAUAUAAUAUAAAAAAACAUUGAUGAAAAUGUGAAAUAGUGACAUUUAUAUCAUAAUAUUUUAAAAUAAAACAAAAUAUUAUAAUCAACAAGAGUAACAAAAUAUUCAAUAUAAUAUUAUUUUAUUUAACUAUAUAUUUCAUAAUAUUUUGAUUGUUUUCACUUGCUUACCCGUCCGUAUGACGGAUUUUACCCUAGUAUAUAUAUAUAAUAAUCACACAUUAAUUGUAAAGUUUUUCUUACUACAAAGAAAAAUUAGAUAUUAUGCAGAUAGUUCAAUCAUUUAUGUUAUUCAAAUAAAAUAUAUGUAAAAUGUAUGAUAAAAUAUUAUAAUGUAUUAACAGUCUACAUACAUCAAACAAUUUAUAUAAUAUCUAAAAUACAAAUUAAUAUUUUUUCAAAACUUAUGCAUAUGUUUAUAAAUAAUUAUUCCAUUUAUAAAUUCAAAUAACUAAAUAGCUAAUAAGAGGGUAUAGUUAUAAAUAAUAAAAGAGAAAUACCCUAGAAUAGCACUAAAAAAGUUUGUCACUAAUAUAGACUAUAAGGAUCAAAAUGACCAAAAUAUUUUAUUAAAGAAGUAAAUAUACAUUUAUACCCUUAGGAUUAACUAAUCCAAACCUUAGGGUUUAGAGUUAAGAAGUGGGGAUUUGAGAUUGAGAUUUAAAAUUUUAUAAAAUAAAAAGUAAAUA